rnacentral:rRNA from 1 species
AUUGAACGCUGGCGGCAUGCCUUACACAUGCAAGUCGAACGGUAACAGGCCUGCGGGUGCUGACGAGUGGCGUACGGGGGGGUAAUGCAUCGGAACGUACCCAGUGGCUGGUGGUAACGGAUGGAAAUCUGGGCUAAUACCUCCUGUGGUCUGAGGAUUAAAGCGGGGGACCGAGCACCAAUGUUUGGCCACUCGCCUUUGGAACGGCCGAUGUCGGAUUAGCUAGUUGGUGGGGUAAAGGCCUACCAAGGCGACGGUCCGUAGCUGGCAUGAGGGGGAGACCAGCCACACGGGGACUGAGACACGGCCCAGACUCCUACGGGAGGAAGCGGUGGGGACUCUUGGACAAUGGGGCAAUGCCUGAUCCAGCACUGCCGCGUGAGGGAAGAAGGCCUUCGGGUGGUAAACCGAUUUUGGCAGGAAGAAAGCGAUGUCCGCUAAUACCGGACGAUAAUGACGGUACCUGCAGAAUAAGCACCGGCUAACUACGUG